UCGGCCUGCUUCUGAGCCCUCAGCAACUUCUGGGGGUCUGCCUGCUUCUGAGCCCUCAGCAAGGCCUGGGGGUCGGCCUGCUUCUCAGCCCUCAGCAAGGCCUGGGGGUCGGCCUGCUUCUGAGCCCUCAGCAAGGCCUGGGGGUCGGCCUGCUUCUGAGCCCUCAGCAACGCCUGGGGGUCGGCCUGCUUCUGAGCCCUCAGCAAGGCCUGGGGGUCGGCCUGCUUCUGAGCCCUCAGCAACGUCUGGGGGUCGGCCUGCUUCUGAGCCCUCAGCAACGCCUGGGGGUCGGCCUGCUUCUGCGCCCUCAGCACUAGAGUUACAGAUGCUCACCAUGUGCUCAGCUUGUUAUACGGGUGCUGGGGAUUCAAACCCAGGUCCGCAUGCUUGCUCAGCUAGCCUUUU